ACGAUGCAUAGCCGACCUGAGAGGGUGAUCGGCCACAUUGGGACUGAGACACGGCCCAAACUCCUACGGGAGGCAGCAGUAGGGAAUCUUCGGCAAUGGACGAAAGUCUGACCGAGCAACGCCGCGUGAGUGAAGAAGGUUUUCGGAUCGUAAAACUCUGUUGUUAGAGAAGAACAAGGAUGAGAGUAACUGUUCAUCCCUUGACGGUAUCUAACCAGAAAGCCACGGCUAACUACGUGCCAGCAGCCGCGGUAAUACGUAGGUGGCAAGCGUUGUCCGGAUUUAUUGGGCGUAAAGCGAGCGCAGGCGGUUUCUUAAGUCUGAUGUGAAAGCCCCCGGCUCAACCGGGGAGGGUCAUUGGAAACUGGGAGACUUGAGUGCAGAAGAGGAGAGUGGAAUUCCAUGUGUAGCGGUGAAAUGCGUAGAUAUAUGGAGGAACACCAGUGGCGAAGGCGGCUCUCUGGUCUGUAACUGACGCUGAGGCUCGAAAGCGUGGGGAGCAAACAGGAUUAGAUACCCUGGUAGUCCACGCCGUAAACGAUGAGUGCUAAGUGUUGGAGGGUUUCCGCCCUUCAGUGCUGCAGCUAACGCAUUAAGCACUCCGCCUGGGGAGUACGACCGCAAGGUUGAAACUCAAAGGAAUUGACGGGGGCCCGCACAAGCGGUGGAGCAUGUGGUUUAAUUCGAAGCAACGCGAAGAACCUUACCAGGUCUUGACAUCCUUUGACCACUCUAGAGAUAGAGCUUCCCCUUCGGGGGCAAAGUGACAGGUGGUGCAUGGUUGUCGUCAGCUCGUGUCGUGAGAUGUUGGGUUAAGUCCCGCAACGAGCGCAACCCUUAUUGUUAGUUGCCAUCAUUCAGUUGGGCACUCUAGCAAGACUGCCGGUGACAAACCGGAGGAAGGUGGGGAUGACGUCAAAUCAUCAUGCCCCUUAUGACCUGGGCUACACACGUGCUACAAUGGGAAGUACAACGAGUCGCGAAGUCGCGAGGCUAAGCUAAUCUCUUAAAGCUUCUCUCAGUUCGGAUUGCAGGCUGCAACUCGCCUGCAUGAAGCCGGAAUCGCUAGUAAUCGCGGAUCAGCACGCCGCGGUGAAUACGUUCCCGGGCCUUGUACACACCGCCCGUCACACCACGAGAGUUUGUAACACCCGAAGUCGGUGAGGUAACCUUUUGGAGCCAGCCGCCUAAGGUGGGAUAGAUGAUUGGGGUGAAGUCGUAACAAGGUAGCCGUAUCGGAAGGUGCGGCUGGAUCACCU
rnacentral:rRNA from 1 species